rnacentral:rRNA from 1 species
AUUGAACGCUGGCGGCAUGCUUUACACAUGCAAGUCGAACGGUAACAGGCCGCAAGGUGCUGACGAGUGGCGAACGGGUGAGUAAUGCAUCGGAACGUGCCCAGUCGUGGGGGAUAACUACCCGAAAGAGUAGCUAAUACCGCAUACGAUCUAUGGAUGAAAGCGGGGGACCGUAAGGCCUCGCGCGAUUGGAGCGGCCGAUGUCAGAUUAGGUAGUUGGUGGGGUAAAGGCUCACCAAGCCAACGAUCUGUAGCUGGUCUGAGAGGACGACCAGCCACACUGGGACUGAGACACGGCCCAGACUCCUACGGGAGGCAGCAGUGGGGAAUUUUGGACAAUGGGCGCAAGCCUGAUCCAGCAAUGCCGCGUGCAGGAAGAAGGCCUUCGGGUUGUAAACUGCUUUUGUACGGAACGAAACGGCUCUGGUUAAUACCCGGGGCUAAUGACGGUACCGUAAGAAUAAGCACCGGCUAACUACGUG